GUUGGGAAUCGAAGCAUCACGA
rnacentral:miRNA from 1 species